AUCGAUCUCGUUUGCGAAU
rnacentral:siRNA from 1 species